rnacentral:tRNA from 1 species
CCAUCGGUGGUUCAGUGGGGAAUGCUCGCCUGCCACACGGGCGGCCCGGGUUCGAUUCCUGGUCAAUGCA